UGUGUGAAACUAGAUAUUCAUUUAUUUUUUAAGAAACUACAUAAUUUAACAAUGAAGUGUAGAUAAUCACUACAACAAAGUGAAGUAAUUGUCACUUAAGGUUCUUAUUUUAAUACUUUUCCAUAAAACUUGUGUAGAAUUUGGAAAUAUCUUGUCUUGAAAAGAAUUUGGAUAUGAGACUCGGUGUAGUCACCAAAGAAACUAAACCUGGUCUAACUGGUUGUUGAGAUCAUCUGCACUUUGGUCAGGAAAUUAUCUCCUAAUCCUAAUAGUGCUGCUAUAAUGGCCAUGGGUGUUAACAUCUUGGGUUCAUGGGAGGAGCUGCCAUUGUUGGGUUCAUGGGAGGAGCUGUCAUUACAAUUGCCCUUCAGCAGCUCAAAGGAUUGCUUGGCAUAAAAAAGAAUUUCACAAAGAAGAAUCUCUGUUUUGCGCUCAGUGUUUAAUUCAACCCACCAUGUUGUAAUAUGAUUUCUUAAGCCUAGACUAGUAGACUAAAUAUUGUAAUUACAUUUGAGUAAUUAAUAAAAAUCUAUUUAUGUUACCUUA